rnacentral:tRNA from 1 species
UGGGGAGUAGCUUAGUGGUAGAGCACUUGCCUAACAUGUGUAAGACCUUGGGUUCAAUCCCCAGCACUACAC